rnacentral:rRNA from 1 species
CCCUUAGGUGUUCUGGGCCGCACGCGCGCUACACUGAAGGGAUCAGCGUGUUUUCCCUUCCCGAGAGGGACGGGUAACCCGCUGAACCCCCUUCGUGGUAGGGAUCGGAGCUUGCAAUUGUUCUCCGUGAACCAGGAAUUCCCAGUAAGCGCAAGUCAUAAGCUUGCGUUGAUUACGUCCCUGCCCUUUGUACACACCGCCCGUCGCUACUACCGAUUGAACGUUUUAGUGAGGUAUUUGGACUGGGCCUUGGGAGGUUUCGGCCUCCCUUGUUGCUCGGAAAGACUCCCAAACUUGAGCGUUUAGAGGAAGUAAAAGUCGUAACA